rnacentral:rRNA from 1 species
UAUAACGACUCUCGGCAACGGAUAUCUCGGCUCUCGCAUCGAUGAAGAACGCAGCGAAAUGCGAUACCUGGUGUGAAUUGCAGAAUCCCGUGAAUCAUCGAGUCUUUGAACGCAAGUUGCGCCCGAGACCAUUCGGUUGAGGGCACGCCUGCCUGGGCGU